rnacentral:lncRNA from 14 species
GGCGCCCAUCGUGAGAAGUUUCCUGUGGCGUGGAUGUUUCCUCUCCGGUCAGUGCCAUCCACCCAAAUCUAUUGACAUCCCGCGUGUUCCGGGCUGUCUGCUCGACCCCCCAGUGCAGGGCGCCAAGGCUGGAGACUGCGCGGCCCUUCUGCAGACCGAUGGAAGCUCCUUGGGUCGACAGAUUACAGCUUCUGCAGCAGCUGGAGCCCAGCUACUCCCUUCAGCCACGUGGUGGGUGCCCACUGUCCCCAGGGAGAGGAUGUCUGGAAAUAAUAGCUUGGAUCUACAGUGGCCAUAAAGUUGGCUCCAACCCACUAGACUGA